UCCUUCUUUCUUUUUUUUUUGUAACGCUCCAUUAACGUGAGAAGGGAGACCGUUAGCAUGCGUCACUGGAGAGAAUGGUGGGGUCCAACGACGAUACCGUGGAUCCACUCGGACCAAUAAAAAUAUAGGAUCCUACGGAUGGUGCGAAAGCUUGGGGUAAGACACAGUGAUGGUGAUCUGCCUUUAGGGUUCGGACGGAGAUCUGCCAGCUGUACAACAAUCUGAGAGAGAGAGAGAGAGAGAGAGCGAGCGAUGGAGGGGGGAGAGGUGCAGGUGAUCCACUCGUGGUCGGCUCCCCGAUCCCUCAGUACCAGCCUCAUGUACUCCUUCGCUCAGAGGGAUGACAUGGAGGUGCUUGAUGAACCUCUCUAUGCGAAUUUUUUAAGGGUCACUGGUGUCGAAAGGCCAUAUCGUGAUGAAUUGCUGUCCAAAAUGGAAUCUGAUGGCAAUAAAGUCAUCAAGGAGGUGAUUUUUGGUCCUGGGAAGAAGAAAUAUCGAUACUGCAAGCAUAUGGCAAAACAACAUCUUCCUAACUUAACAAAUGAUUUGAUGAAGAAAGGAAAACACUUCAUUUUGAUACGGAACCCCCUCAAUGUCCUGUCAUCCUUCAAUAAAGUUGCACCACCAUCUUUUCUAGAGUUAGGUUUGGGAAACCUCAUCUCCAUUUAUAGUGAAUUAUGUGAGCUUGGGAACCCUCCAGCUAUAGUUGAUGCUGACGAUUUACAAAAGGAUCCUCAGGCUGUCUUAAGUGGUCUUUGUCAAGAUCUGGGUAUUCCUUUCCAUGCGUCAAUGCUUGAAUGGGAAGCUGGUUCAAAACCAUUUGAUGGAAUUUGGGCUCCUUGGUGGUAUGGAAACAUACACAAGUCAACAGGUUUUACAAAGCCAUGCAUGCAUUCAUUGCCAUUUCCAUGUGCCCUAUAUGACUUGCUAGAGCAAAGUCUGCCUUUCUACAACAUGCUCAGACAAAAGAUUAGGCGAACAGGAUCCUCAUUACAACCUUCUUUACCUCCUCAUCUUCCUGUCCCUGCCAAUGAGAAGCUGCUUGCUUGGGUUGGUGAUGAGCUCUUACCUCGUGAGAGUGCCAAGGUAUCAGUGUUCGAUUCAGUUGUACAAGGUGGUGAUGCAGUGUGGGAGGGACUCCGAAUCUAUAAUGGAAAAGCUUUCAAGCUUGAUGAACACUUGGAUCGGUUGUUUGAUUCAGCCAAAGCUUUAGCCUUCAGCAACAUUCCAAGUCGUGAAGCGAUAAAGGAAGCGAUUUUCAAAACUCUCAUAUCGAAUGGGAUGUUUGACAAUGCACAUAUAAGACUCACUUUAACUCGUGGGAAAAAGGUUACAUCUGGAAUGAGUCCAGCAUUCAACCUUUAUGGAUGCACUCUGAUUGUGCUUGCUGAGUGGAAACCACCAGUCUAUGACAAUUCAGGUGGUAUAAAACUGGUGACUGCAACCACACGUCGUAAUUCACCAAAUAGUAUCGAUUCCAAGAUUCAUCACAACAAUCUUAUCAACAACAUAUUGGCCAAGGUAGAAGGAAACCUUGCUGGGGCAGAUGAUGCUAUCAUGCUAGACAAAGAUGGUUUUGUAUCAGAAACAAAUGCCACAAACAUUUUCAUGGUUAAAAAAGGGCAAGUACAUACACCUCAUGCUGACUACUGCCUUCCUGGCAUCACUCGAGCAACUGUCUUGGAUCUUGUGGUGAAAGAGAACCUGGUCCUACAUGAGCGACGUAUUAGUCUAUCUGAGUUUCAUACUGCAGAUGAGGUGUGGACUACAGGAACUAUGGGUGAACUAACACCAGUUGUCAUGAUUGAUGGCCGCAUCAUUGGACAUGGAGAAGUUGGUCCUGUGACUAGAAGAAUCCAGGAUGCUUACAGGGUCCUCACUGCUGAAUCAGGGGUGCCAAUACCUAUCAAUGUGGAGUAAUCAUUCUGAAGACUGAGCUGAGCUCAGCUUCAAGCCAUUUCCUUCUGAUCUGUUCUGUUUGCAUACAUUACCUCAAGCAACAGUAUCCAAGGUAGUGGAUCUCUCCUGACCAAGAUGUAUCCAUGGGCUGAUACUUGCUUUUGUCCUGCCAUACUAUUAUGUCUGCCAAUAUGUAGAAAUUUGUACUUGAUAAAUCUUGUCAUAAAUGCUUGUCCGUCAAGAAUAUCAUAGUGUUAGUUUAGUAAAUAUGGUAGAUGUCCUGAUUGAGGCAUUGCAAUGAACACCUGAUAAUUUUUAGGGCAGGGAGCUGGAAACCUCAGAAAGGGUAAGUGCCAAGAAUCUGAGGAAUAGGACUGUGAAUAGAACAAUAUAAUCUGAUACACUUUUAUAUCGGUAUUAGGAACUAAGUAUAUAAAUUCUAUAUAUUUAAAUA